UUAGGUUGAUACGUAUACGUCUUAACUUUUUUUUGUGAUUUUAAGUGUUACCUCUGAACUUGUUACUGUAUGAACCAAGGCUGAUAGCAAUGUUACUCGGGAGUCCAUGGGGCGUGAAAUGAGUAAGACUGAGUGUGAUAAAUCAGAAGUUUUGAUGAGGAAGCGGGAUCUUCUCGUGUUCGUAAACCUACAGUACCGAGGCAGCUCACUUGGAAGAUUAGUGAGCAGUAAUAUACUAAUUCUUCGUGAUGAAGGUAAGGCUACACUAGCCUUUGAAUAAUAGCGGAAGCCGGGAAGAUACGACCUCCAUGGUGGAGGUUUCGAAAACGUUGCUAUCCCAGUGACAAAAGCUUUGGUUAAUGAAUACUGGGCUAUGUGGCACAACAGAAGCCGUAGGAACCUUGCUGAUAAAAAUAUCCGUCUGAUGUUCUCCUGCCUCCAGGUACGGCCCUCUUAUCUCCUUGUCGACCAAAAUACUACCCAGUACUUGAGGUACUAUGUAAUCAACAUGGAUGAAUAGUCCCUUGAGAAGGAGGGCACUGAAAGAGUGGAGGGUCGCCAAAAUUGAUACUUUACACACAGGCCUGGUGUACUAGGCCUAUACUCAAUUUCAACUUACCUGGCACCGAAAAAUAAUCAUGCACCGGCAGGUGGUUAUGGCACUAUACUUGGAUGUACUUGUCAGCUGACAGAGGGUUGGAGAACAAUUGCUAAGAUCAGCUGACACCACCUAUAGCAAAAGUGACCCCUGACCACAUCGGAACUUCAGAAUAGGAUACAUCGUCGUCAGUGUUGGUGAGAAUUUGUUGAAAAGUCAGAAGAAAAUGAAAUUUUAUUUUGACAGAAAGACUGUGACCCGGGACUUCGACGUAGGACAGAAGGUACUGGUUCUGUUACCUAUCCCAGGUAACAAAAUUCUCUAAAAGCUACCUUCCGGAGACCAUGGAAGGUAUUGAAGAAGGUAAAUAAUGUUAACUUCUUGGUGGAAACCCCCGAUAGGAGAAGGCCUCAUCAAUUAGUACAUAUAAAUAUGAUGAAAGCUUUCCAUGAAAGAGAGAAGAUUAGGCCAAUUGCGGCUCUUCGUGACAGUAGAAAUGACUUUGUCGGUAAUAAUGCUUCUUUUUCAGAUGAGCAUAAUAAUGAUUCCUUUUCAGAGGACAGGGACGUUUACUUGAAAGAUAGUGAAUGGCUGGCAGGUAAUGUCGAGGCUUUAGAAAAUUUACCUCAGAUGUUGAGUCACUUGGGUAAGG